GCAUUCUCCAUUAUUAAAAUUCUACCUCCUACACUCUAAUAGGGGCAUUAGGAGACCUAAUAUGAUAAGAGACCCCUUUCUCUAGGAUAUAGUGAAACGGCGCAUCUGAGACUUCUGCUUCUAAUCGAUGCCGUCUUCUCUAUUUUCGUUCCUACUCUCCUACUCACGCAUUCCCUUAUCUUUCUAAUUCACAACAUUUUUCAGGGAUACUUUCACUCACCUUUACUCUCAUUUUCAGGAGAUAAAGCCUUAUAAAUUUAUGUUUAGAUAAUUAUUUACGCUAUUUCUGAUUGAGUUCUCUAUUGUUUUUGUCUUUGUUUUUGUUUUAUUAUUGUUUUUCCUUUUAUACUAUGAGCUGAGGGUCAAUUGGAAACAAUCUCUCUGCCCUUUCGAGUAGGGGUAAUGCUCGUCUGCAUAUUAACAUCCCCAGACCCCACAUGGUGGGAUUAUACUGGAUAGUUGUUGUUGUUGUAAAGCCUUAUAAAUUUCAGCAUUAAAACUUUAGAAAGAUAACAUCAAAAAAGAGAGGCGGAUUUCUCUCUUUGUUUCUUUUCUGCUACUUGGUUUUCAUCUUCUCUGGGUUUGGAAGUCGUUUUAGCUUUCAGUCGUUGCUUGGACAUUAAGUCGUUUGUGUUAGUUCAUCACUGCUAAGCUUCAUUCGUUUGCUUUCUAACCUUUAUUUGGUAUUUUAAUUGCUGCUUUUCUGCCUUUAGGUAUGUAUAAACUUACAUGUAGCACUGUAUUGCACGUAUAAAUGGAAUCUUAAACUAUUUUAUGCUAUGAUUGUGUUAAAUUCGAUUAUCUGAUUCGACUGCAAUCUUAUUUUGUACAAGCUUUCUAGUUCUCUGAUUGUUUAUUUUUGAGGGAAAUGUUGCGACUGAAACUAUCUCCUGAUUUAUGCAAUUACUCAAUGUCAUUGUUCAAGCCCAUUAUCAUGGAUGUGUCACUAGUUUAGCUUACAGGUUCUUUCAUGCUCAAAUCAUCUCAUGUUUAGUCCAUUGUAUCAGGAGUGAUGAUUUACUAUCCGAAAAUUGGUGAUUCAUAUUAAAGCUUUUGCUUAUUGUGGUAGACUAACAAAAUCUGUCGCUUUGAUUAUUUGAGUUUAAAUUGAAAUUAUUCUCUAAUUAAACUCAGAAAUUGCACAAAAAUUAGACUAAUCUAAUUUAUGUUAGUUGUUUAGCUACUGCCAAUGUCCAAAUGAUUUAUGAGAGUAGCUCGGUAGCUAUCUAAUUGUAAAUCAAGAUCGAUGAGAAGAAAGAAGAUCACUAGGAUAACUAGGAAGAUUAUUGACUGUAGAAUGCAAAUCAUGAAUGCUAGCAAAUUGCAAGGUGNNNN
rnacentral:lncRNA from 1 species